CUCCUUUUUUAAUUUGUUUUCUAGGCAUCAGGCCCUUUUGUGGCAGGAAAUAACUUUUCACUGGCGGAUGUGAUGGUUUUUCCAAGCGUCGCUUAUCUCUACCGCUUUGGGUUUUGUGAAGAGCGUUACCCUAAACUGGCAGCUUACUAUAACUCUCUGAAGGACAGAUCCAGCAUCAAAACCUCCUGGCCUCCGACCUGGCUGGAGAGCCCAGGACAGGACCUCCUGAAAGACAUUUGAGACUGAGAUUUGUCACCACUCCUUGCCUUGCACUUAUCUAGCUGGCUGCAUUUUUAGGAAAUGUGCAUUGCUCCUACUGUUGUUAUUCCUUUACAUAAUGUGCUUGACUUAAACUGUGGAUACUGUUGUUGUGCUUAUAACGAAAACAAUAAAAAAUUGAUUGUUGAAAGUU